rnacentral:lncRNA from 10 species
UCUCAUAAUAUCUCCCAAAUUUGAGUAUUGUGCAAUAUGUGUGUUCAAUGCAUAUAUGAAAUAUAUGAACUGAUUUCUAGAUAAGCAUUUAAAUAUUUUUCUAAUGAAAUAUGUUUGUCCAUAUUUUAGUGGAUCUCAAUGUGAAGGGAUGAUAGUUCAGGUUUUGGAAUAAUACAGACCUAGGAAUUCUGUAAUAUAUAGCUCUAAUUAUGAUGUUUCCUGGCCUCAAAAAUAAGUUAGCAGCUUUCCCAUGAUGUCUUUUUGAUAGUAUUUCAAGAGAUUAAAGGUGCCAGUCAACAUUAUUUAAGAAUGUCCUCCUUUAAAAACUUUAAUUGUAAAAAAUUUAAGAUUUGAAACAGAUAAUUAGAGAAUUAGUCACGUUACAAAUGGAUUCUUUACUUGUUACAGGCUUCACCCAGAAUUAACAAGCCUCUAUGGGCAUUAAAAAUAGUAUUAUGUUUUUACAUUUUUUUUGUAAAAUUACUUACAAAUUUUCAGGAAUUUUUUUUUUAUCACACAGAAUAAGAUAUACCUGUCUUUGGGAUAAAAAUACAUAACUAUCAACACAGUUAUAAUAAAAGUGCUUCAUAUUAAUUCCCAUUAUAAUUAUACCUUAUAUUUGUCUAGGACUUUACAAUGUACAAAGCACUUUCACAUACACUGUUUCUUUUAAAAGAAAGGCAUCACAAGAAAGUGAACUGAUACAAUUUUUGUUUUCAAUGAAUAGUGGCACUCUUAAAAUGGAGAUAGAAACCAUGCCUAUCACGUUAUAACAACAACAAAACACAUUUUGCUGAGCUUCUCAAAAGGAGGUAUGGCAAAGCAUAGGUUCUGGAAUCAACAGGACAUAUAAUGGGAUCCUAAUUUUACUUACUUACUAGCUGUGUGACUUUGAGCAAGCUACUUAACUUGUCUGUACUUCAUUUUCCUCAUCUGUGAAUCCAGAAUUUGGACCUCAUAGAGUCAGAUUAAAUGAAAAACAUUUUACAUAUCCUAAAGCAACGCACAGAAUUGCUAUGAUACUAGGUAUAUAGUAGGAACUCAAUAAAUAAAGAUGAUAAUGAAAAUAAUGUUACUUUUAUUAUUAAGAUGAUCUAUUUUCACUGAUCUUCAUAAUCUUUCAACAAAACAUACUACACAAAGUAAAUAAUUAGAUAUGACAAUGACUGAUCUUAGAUCAUAGAUCAGGUGAGGAAGAAAGGUGAAAGUCUAUUUUGGAAGCAGAUGAGACACUACACCAUGGGAAAUGGAACUCACUAGAAAAAAAUCGAGGUUACACCUAAACUAGUUUAAAUUUAUGAUAUUUAAACAGGGUAGAAACUUAUACUAAAGGCAUCACAGGCAAUUUUGCUUUAAGGAGAGUAAAAUGGAAGCCCGUUUGUGAUGUGCAUGUUAAAUGAAAGAAAACAGAAUCAUAUCUGUAAAAUAAGAAGUAAUAUCAUAUAAAGUGAAGAGGGGUACAGGGAACAUAAGGCUAGAAUAGUUUAAUUUGUAUAAGCAUAUUAGCUCACUUAGAUUGAUCAUACAAGGAUAAAAGAUUGACCUGAAGUUUGGCAUAAAAAAACUCUCUGCUCCUAAGCAAAAGACCCUAAUGAGUCUCCUUACAAACGUGUGCUGUCAGUUAAACAAGGAGCCUCAACUUAAAGUGUUUACUGCUUAAAGUAGCCCAUCACUAUUAUUAUAUAAACAAUUGAAAUUAUAGGCCCUAUUUACAUAAAGUUAAUAUCAUCUUUGCAUUAACAACAUUUGCUGAUUGUUGAAUUUGUCUUGAAGUUCUUCUUUCAGAGUGGAACAUUUACUCAGAAAAUUAACAUUAUUUAGGGUCUACUGCAGGCAUAUCUCAGAGAUAUUGCAGGUUUGGUUCCAUACCACCACAACAAAGUUAAUAUUGCAAUAUAGUGAGUAGCACGAAUUUUUUUUGUUUCCCAGUGCAUAUAAAAAUUAUGUUUACACUAUACUGUAUAGUCUAGUAAGUGUACAAUAGCAUGUCUGAAAAGUGUGCAUACCUUAAUUUAAAAGACCUUAUUGCUAAAAAUUGCUACCAAUCAUCUGAGGCUUCAGUGAGUCAUAAUCUUUUUGCUGGAGAAGGGUCUCGUCUCGAUGUUGAUGGCUGCUGACUGAUCAGGGUGGUGGCUGCUGAAGGUUGGGGUGGCUGUGGCAGUUCCUUUUUUCUUUUCUUUUCUUUUUUUUUUUUUUUUUUAGACAGAGUCUUGCUCCAUCUCCCAGGCUGGAGUGCAGUGGCACGAUCUCGGCUCCCUGCAACCUCCACACCCAGGGUUCAAGCAAUUCUUGUGACUGGACUGUGGCAGUUUCUUAAAAUGACACAACAAUGAAGUCUGCUGUGUCAAUUGACUCUUCUUUUCAUGAAAGAUUUCUUUGUAGCAUGUGUGCUGUUUGACAACAUUUUCCCUACAGUACGAUGUCUUUCAAAAUUGGACUCAAUCCUCUCAAAUCCUGUUGCUGCUUUGUUAACAAAAUUUAUAUAUUAUUCUAAAACCUUUGUUGUCAAUGUCAACAAUGUUCACAGCAGACUCCAUCUCAAGAUGGAGUAGAUUCCAUGUUAAGAAACCACUCUCUUUGUUUAUUCAUAAGAAGCAACUCCUUAUCCACUCAAGUUUUAUCAUGAGAUAAAACUUGGGAAUAUUUUGAAAGGAAUCUUUUUUUCUGAGCAGUAGGUCUCAAAAGUCGGCUUAAAAUAUUCAGUAAACCAUGCUGAAAGCAGAUAUGCUGUCAUGUAGGUUUUGUUAUUCCAUUUGUAGAGAACAGGCAAAGUAGAUUUAGCAUAAUUCUUAAGGGCCCCAGGAUUUUUGGCACGGUAAGUGAGCACUGGCUUCAACUCAAAAUUACCAGCUGACCCUAACAAGAGAAUCAGCCUGUACUUUGAAGCUCUGAAGCAAAGCAUUAACUUCUCCUUUCUGGCUAUUAAAGUCGCAGAUGGCAUCUUCUUCCAAUAGAAGGCUGUUUCCUCUACAUUCAAAAUCUGUUGUUUAGCGUAGUCACUUUCAUCAAUUAUCUUAGCUAGAUAUUCUGGGUAACUUGCUGCAGCUUUACCAUCAACACUUGCUGCUUCACCUUGCACUUUUAUGUUAUGUAGAUGGCUUCUUUCCUUAAACCUCAUGAACUAACCGCUGUAAGCUUUAAAUUUUUCUUCUCCAACUUCCUUGCCUCUCUUGGCCUUCACAGAAUUGAAGAGUUAGGGCUUUGCCCUGGAUUAGGCUUUGGUUUAAGGGAAUGUUGUGGCUAAUUUGAUCUAUUCAGACCACCAAAACUGUCUCCAUUAUCAGCAAUGAGGCUGUUUCACUUUCACUACUUCACUGGAGUAGCAUUUUUAAUUUCCUUCAAGAAUUUUUCCUUUGCACUCCCACUUGACUAAGUGUUUAGUGCAAGAGGUCUAGCUUUUGACCUAUCUUCACUUUUUACAUGCCUUCCUCACUAAGCUUAAUCAUUUCUAGUUUUUUAUUUACAGCGAGAGAUAUGUGACUCUUUUUUUCACUUGAACACUUUUUAGAGGCUAUUGUUGGGUUAUAAAUUGGUCUAACUUCGAUAUUGUUGUGUCUAACAUCCAUAUGGUCUUAGGGAACAGGGAGGCCUGAAGAGAGCAACAGAGAUGGGGGAAUGCCCACUUGCUCAAGCAGUCAGAAUACACACAACAUUGAUAAUUUAAGUUAGCCAUCUUAUAUGAGCAUAGUUCAUAGCAUCCCAAAACAAUUACAAUAGUAACAUCAAAGAUCACUGACCACAGAACACCGUAAUAGACUGAAAAGUUUAAAAUAUUGAGAGAAUUAACAAAAUGUGACACAAAGUGAGCACCACAGACUUGCUCACCCAGGGUUGCCACAAACCAUCAAUUUGUUAAAAAAAAAAAAAAACCAACACAAUAUCUGUGAAGUGCAGAGGAGGGUAAUAAAACAAAGUAAACCUGUAUAUGUCAGGUGUUCAUAUAAACUGCAUAAUUUUUAUGCCCAUAUUACAGGUAAAAAAGCGUAGGUGAAAAGCUUAAAGUAAUAGCUAAUACAUCACGGAAGUAGCAUAUAAAUCAAGAUUUUCAAACUUGGAAACAAAUGUUCUAUCCCCACUCUCCCCACGAAUUUUCCAAGAUCAAAUGUACCUGAUUAAUGGUAGCACUGAAGAAAUGUUAUUUGUUCUGGUUUC